rnacentral:rRNA from 1 species
CCCUUAGAUGUUCUGGGCCGCACGCGCGCUACACUGAUGGAUUCAACAAGUGUUGUUCUUCGGAGCAGAUCCUUGGUCGGAAGGCCUGGGCAAUCUUGUAAAUGUCCAUCGUGAUGGGGCUAGAUUUUUGCAAUUCUGAAUCUCCAACGAGGAAUUCCUAGUAAACGCAAGUCAUCAGCUUGCAUUGAUUACGUCCCUGCCCUUUGUACACACCGCCCGUCGCACCUACCGAUUGAACGGUCCGGUGAAAUCUCGGGACGGCGGCUUGGUCGCUUGCGUCCGACUGCUGAAACUUGAUUAAACCAUAUCAUUUAGAGGAAGGUGAAGUCGUAACA